rnacentral:rRNA from 1 species
GAUCCUGGCUCAGGAUGAACGCUGGCGGCGUGCUUAACACGUGCAAGUCGAACGGAACUUAAUCUUCGGAGAUUCGUCAAAGAAGGUGAAAGUUUAGUGGCGGACGGGUGAGUAACGCGUGGGUAACCUGCCUCAUAGAGGGGGAUAACAGUUGGAAACGAUUGCUAAUACCGCAUAAGCCCACAGUACCGCAUGGUACAGAGGGAAAAGAAUCAUCGCUAUGAGAUGGACCCGCGUUUGAUUAGUUAGUUGGCGG